GAUGAACGCUGGCGGCGUGCCUAAUACAUGCAAGUCGAGCGGCAACACAGUGAGCUUGUGCCCUUACGGGUAGCGGCGGACGGGUGGGUAACGCGUGGAUAAGCUUCUACUUUUUCGUGGAGGAUAUCGUGAAACGACUUCCAAUACCACCUAAUACGAUCUACGGCAGGAUUCAGGGGAGCUUGAGGCCUUUGGCGCAUGAAAUAGCCGAUGUCGGAUUAGCUAGUUGGGUGGGUAAGGGCCCACCAAGCCGAGGAUCCGUAGCUGGCCUGAGAGGAUGGCCAGCCACACUGGAACUGAGACACGGUCCAGACUCCUACGGGAGGCAGCAGUGGGGAAUAUUGGACAAUGGGCGAAAGCCUGACGCAGCAAUCCCGCGUGGGUGAAGAAGGUCUUCGGGUUGUAAAGCCCUUUUGUUGGGAAAGAAAAGCAGCAGAUUAAAACCCCGAUGUUGUGACGGUACCUAACCAGAAAGCAACGGCUAACUACGUG
rnacentral:rRNA from 1 species